CUGCAUAGAUAUGUGGUUAGACCCAUUGGAAAGUAGACUUCAUGAGCUUUCCAACAAGUAUAGGAACGUCCCAGUUAGAGUCCAUAUGACACCGUGGUGAUCCAUACAAGUUAGAGUUAUUUUCCAGUCCGAAUCCAACUCCCAAAACGUGUUGGGUUUGGACUCUUUGUUUCCUUGCUUUAGAAGCGACGUGGUAACUUGAUAGAGGAUGUUGUGGAGGCUUGGACUUGAUCUCCAAUCACCUUUGUUAAGUUAUCACUCUUCCCAUAUGC
rnacentral:lncRNA from 1 species